rnacentral:rRNA from 1 species
GAUGAACGCUGACAGAAUGCUUAACACAUGCAAGUCAACUUGAACUUCGGUUUGGGUGGCGGACGGGUGAGUAACGCGUAAAGAACUUGCCUCACAGUUAGGGACAACAUUUGGAAACGAAUGCUAAUACCUGAUAUUAUGAUUUUAGGGCAUCCUAGAAUUAUGAAAGCUAUAUGCGCUGAGAGAGAGCUUUGCGUCCCAUUAGCUAGUUGGAGAGGUAACGGCUCACCAAGGCGAUGAUGGGUAGCCGGCCUGAGAGGGUGAACGGCCACAAGGGGACUGAGACACGGCCCUUACUCCUACGGGAGGCAGCAGUGGGGAAUAUUGGACAAUGGACCAAGAGUCUGAUCCAGCAAUUCUGUGUGCACGAUGAAGUUUUUCGGAAUGUAAAGUGCUUUCAGUUGGGAAGAAAAAAAUGACGGUACCAACAGAAGAAGUGACGGCUAAAUACGUG